GGGUUGUGAGGUUAAGCGACUAAGCGUACACGGUGGAUGCCCUGGCAGUCAGAGGCGAUGAAGGACGUGCUAAUCUGCGAUAAGCGUCGGUAAGGUGAUAUGAACCGUUAUAACCGGCGAUUUCCGAAUGGGGAAACCCAGUGUGUUUCGACACACUAUCAUUAACUGAAUCCAUAGGUUAAUGAGGCGAACCGGGGGAACUGAAACAUCUAAGUACCCCGAGGAAAAGAAAUCAACCGAGAUUCCCCCAGUAGCGGCGAGCGAACGGGGAGCAGCCCAGAGCCUGAAUCAGUGUGUGUGUUAGUGGAAGCGUCUGGAAAGGCGCGCGAUACAGGGUGACAGCCCCGUACACAAAAAUGCACAUGCUGUGAGCUCGAUGAGUAGGGCGGGACACGUGGUAUCCUGUCUGAAUAUGGGGGGACCAUCCUCCAAGGCUAAAUACUCCUGACUGACCGAUAGUGAACCAGUACCGUGAGGGAAAGGCGAAAAGAACCCCGGCGAGGGGAGUGAAAAAGAACCUGAAACCGUGUACGUACAAGCAGUGGGAGCACGCUUCGGCGUGUGACUGCGUACCUUUUGUAUAAUGGGUCAGCGACUUAUAUUCUGUAGCAAGGUUAACCGAAUAGGGGAGCCGAAGGGAAACCGAGUCUUAACUGGGCGUUAAGUUGCAGGGUAUAGACCCGAAACCCGGUGAUCUAGCCAUGGGCAGGUUGAAGGUUGGGUAACACUAACUGGAGGACCGAACCGACUAAUGUUGAAAAAUUAGCGGAUGACUUGUGGCUGGGGGUGAAAGGCCAAUCAAACCGGGAGAUAGCUGGUUCUCCCCGAAAGCUAUUUAGGUAGCGCCUCGUGAAUUCAUCUCCGGGGGUAGAGCACUGUUUCGGCAAGGGGGUCAUCCCGACUUACCAACCCGAUGCAAACUGCGAAUACCGGAGAAUGUUAUCACGGGAGACACACGGCGGGUGCUAACGUCCGUCGUGAAGAGGGAAACAACCCAGACCGCCAGCUAAGGUCCCAAAGUCAUGGUUAAGUGGGAAACGAUGUGGGAAGGCCCAGACAGCCAGGAUGUUGGCUUAGAAGCAGCCAUCAUUUAAAGAAAGCGUAAUAGCUCACUGGUCGAGUCGGCCUGCGCGGAAGAUGUAACGGGGCUAAACCAUGCACCGAAGCUGCGGCAGCGACGCUUAUGCGUUGUUGGGUAGGGGAGCGUUCUGUAAGCCUGUGAAGGUGUGCUGUGAGGCAUGCUGGAGGUAUCAGAAGUGCGAAUGCUGACAUAAGUAACGAUAAAGCGGGUGAAAAGCCCGCUCGCCGGAAGACCAAGGGUUCCUGUCCAACGUUAAUCGGGGCAGGGUGAGUCGACCCCUAAGGCGAGGCCGAAAGGCGUAGUCGAUGGGAAACAGGUUAAUAUUCCUGUACUUGGUGUUACUGCGAAGGGGGGACGGAGAAGGCUAUGUUGGCCGGGCGACGGUUGUCCCGGUUUAAGCGUGUAGGCUGGUUUUCCAGGCAAAUCCGGAAAAUCAAGGCUGAGGCGUGAUGACGAGGCACUACGGUGCUGAAGCAACAAAUGCCCUGCUUCCAGGAAAAGCCUCUAAGCAUCAGGUAACAUCAAAUCGUACCCCAAACCGACACAGGUGGUCAGGUAGAGAAUACCAAGGCGCUUGAGAGAACUCGGGUGAAGGAACUAGGCAAAAUGGUGCCGUAACUUCGGGAGAAGGCACGCUGAUAUGUAGGUGAAGUCCCUCGCGGAUGGAGCUGAAAUCAGUCGAAGAUACCAGCUGGCUGCAACUGUUUAUUAAAAACACAGCACUGUGCAAACACGAAAGUGGACGUAUACGGUGUGACGCCUGCCCGGUGCCGGAAGGUUAAUUGAUGGGGUUAGCGCAAGCGAAGCUCUUGAUCGAAGCCCCGGUAAACGGCGGCCGUAACUAUAACGGUCCUAAGGUAGCGAAAUUCCUUGUCGGGUAAGUUCCGACCUGCACGAAUGGCGUAAUGAUGGCCAGGCUGUCUCCACCCGAGACUCAGUGAAAUUGAACUCGCUGUGAAGAUGCAGUGUACCCGCGGCAAGACGGAAAGACCCCGUGAACCUUUACUAUAGCUUGACACUGAACAUUGAGCCUUGAUGUGUAGGAUAGGUGGGAGGCUUAGAAGUGUGGACGCCAGUCUGCAUGGAGCCGACCUUGAAAUACCACCCUUUAAUGUUUGAUGUUCUAACGUUGACCCGUAAUCCGGGUUGCGGACAGUGUCUGGUGGGUAGUUUGACUGGGGCGGUCUCCUCCUAAAGAGUAACGGAGGAGCACGAAGGUUGGCUAAUCCUGGUCGGACAUCAGGAGGUUAGUGCAAUGGCAUAAGCCAGCUUGACUGCGAGCGUGACGGCGCGAGCAGGUGCGAAAGCAGGUCAUAGUGAUCCGGUGGUUCUGAAUGGAAGGGCCAUCGCUCAACGGAUAAAAGGUACUCCGGGGAUAACAGGCUGAUACCGCCCAAGAGUUCAUAUCGACGGCGGUGUUUGGCACCUCGAUGUCGGCUCAUCACAUCCUGGGGCUGAAGUAGGUCCCAAGGGUAUGGCUGUUCGCCAUUUAAAGUGGUACGCGAGCUGGGUUUAGAACGUCGUGAGACAGUUCGGUCCCUAUCUGCCGUGGGCGCUGGAGAACUGAGGGGGGCUGCUCCUAGUACGAGAGGACCGGAGUGGACGCAUCACUGGUGUUCGGGUUGUCAUGCCAAUGGCACUGCCCGGUAGCUAAAUGCGGAAGAGAUAAGUGCUGAAAGCAUCUAAGCACGAAACUUGCCCCGAGAUGAGUUCUCCCUGACCCUUUAAGGGUCCUGAAGGAACGUUGAAGACGACGACGUUGAUAGGCCGGGUGUGUAAGCGCAGCGAUGCGUUGAGCUAACCGGUACUAAUGAACCGUGAGGCUUAACCUUACAACGCCGAAGCUGUU
rnacentral:rRNA from 1 species